GCCGCGCGGGGUGAGGCGGGCGCGGCUUCGUCCUCCGCUGGUCCUUCUGAGGUAUCGCAAAAUUUCUGCACGAGCGUAAGUGGCAGCGUGAACCAUGGGAGACGUUGGAAAAAGAAAUGGAACACGUAAGGAACAUCUAACGUUCUUGCCAGUCAUCCCCUUACUGCCUCUCGGCUUCCAAUGCACGUGGUCCGUGGCGGAGACGGAUCUGACCCCUGGCCAUGCUGAGCCUUGGCGGCAGAGGGAGCGGGAGAGGUUGCGGGAGAAGGUUUGCUCCGGGGCUGCUCGGCGGGAGGGAGGCGCCUGCUUCCCCACGUCCGGCUCCUGCGGAGACAGCUUCCCCUGGACGUCUUCCCCAGGCAAACGGCAGGGCAGAUUUCUGGCAAGUUCUGUAAGAUGAACUUUCAGGAAGUGGGGAUAAAAAAAGCGUCAAGGGCUUCCCUGGUGGCGCAGUGGUUGAGAGUCCGCCUGCCGAUGCAGGGGACACGGGUUCGUGCCCUGGUCCAGGAAGAUCCCACAUGCCGCAGAGCGGCUGGGCCCGUGAGCCAUGGCCGCUGAGCCUGCGCUCCGCAACGGGAGAGGCCCGCGUACCGCAAAAAAAAAAAAAAGCGUCAAGCUCUCAACCGCGAAUAGAUUACAAGCCCUGCAAGCGCAGACCCCACCCCCAAGGCUGGAGGUGCGGUGGGUAGAGCUGCAGAACAGGGGCUCAGCGCUAGGAGUCCCAGUGCUUGAGAUGCUCCCACUCGUUGUCCUGCUCUGAGUGCCUGCAACCCUCAUCCUGAUCGUGAUGUUCUUCUGGGGUCAGCCAGGGCUCCUCCGCUCCCCCACCCCACCCUUGGUUCAGCCACACGUCCCUCAACUUCUAACUACAGCCAGCUCUCCUCCUGCAGCCCUGGUCCAGGUUUAUCUCACCUGACUCACAACAGCAGCCUCCCAACAGGCUCCCUGCUUCUAUCCUGCCAUACUUGCUGGAGGCCAGCUUGUCGCAGUCAGCAGAGCACCCAGUAAAAAGAAGUCCAGGGCUUCCCUGGUGGCGCAGUGGUUGGGAGUCCGCCUGCCGAUGCAGGGGACGCGGGUUCGUGCCCCGGUCUGGGAGGAUCCCACAUGCCGCGGAGCGGCUGGGCCUGCGCAUCCGGAGCCUGUGCUCCGCAGUGGGAGAGGCCACAGCAGUGAGAGGCCCACGUACCGCAAAAAAAAAAAGUCCAAUCCCAUCCCUUCCCCAGGGGCUCCCAUGUCACACAGCACGAAAGCCAGUCCUUGCUGCCACCCACAGGUCCUACACAGGUGGGUCUCAUUUGUGCUCUGCCCCUUGUUCAUCUAGCUCCAAUCAGGAGACCCUCCUGCCGCAGGCCAUUGAAUGUGCAUCCUGUCACACCCUCUAAUUGUCCCCAUGCAAACUGACCUCCUACAUCUUACUCCAUUGUCCCCUUCUCCGUGAGGACUUCCCUGGCCUUCCUAUUUCAAAUCUCAAACCUACAUACAUGCAUGCACAGACACGCACAUGCACACACAUGCAUGCACAUGGGCACACUCACAGCCCCUUUCCCUGUUUGGUUUUUCCUCCUUGUGUCAGUAGUCAGGGUUCAAUGAGGGGACAGAGAGCACACAGUGACUUCAGAGAAAGUUUGAUAUAAAGAUUACUGAGGGACUUCCCUGGUGGUGCAGUGGGUAAGACUCUGUGCUCCCAGAGCAGGGGGCCCAGGUUCGAUCCCUGGUCAAGGAACUAGAUCCCACAUGCAUGCCACAACCUAGAGUUCACAUGCCACAACUAAGGAGCCUGCCUGCCGCAACUAAGACCUGGUGCAACCAAAUAAGUAAUUUUUUUAAAAUUACUAAUAACGGGAUUAAUUAUAAAGGAGUAAAGAACUCUGUAUUCAAGAAAGGACAAAACAUUCCCUGCUAAAUGCUUCUGGGAUCCAGCUCCAUUAUUGCAGAGCAGGCAAAGAGAAGUGGAUUUGGAGCUGAGGCAGUAAGUGGAAAAUGGGCAGAGUCCGACCUUCUGGAAAGUCAGCUUCUGUAUGCAGCCUUUCAAGCAUAUUUGAACUUCCAUACAACAACAAAACAAUGCUAUAUUUUCACCUAACAAGGUACAUCCAUCCUUAUUGCAAGUGAAGAAAUUCUCACUUUCCCCCAAAUGAGCAUAUGUACAGUCCCAGCAGUCAUUGUAUCUGACACUGGCUACAUUCAUUACUCCUCAAAUUCUGUCACUGUCCCACUGAAUACUCUAUUAUGCUCUUAAAACUAAAUAGUAGGGCUUCCCUGGUGGCACAGUGGUUAAAAAUCCGCCUGCCAAUGCAGGGGACACGGGUUCAAGCCCUGGUCCGGGAAGGUCCCACGUGCCACGGAACAACUAAGCCUGUGCGCCACAACUACUGAGCCCAUGUGCCACAACUACUGAAGCCCGCGUGCCUAGAGCCCAUGCUCCACAGCAAAGAGAAGCCCACACAGUAAGAAGCCUGCGCACCGCAACUAAGAGUAGCCCCCGCUCGCCGCAACUAGAGGAAGCCCACGUGCAGCAACAAAGACCCAAUGCAGCCAAAAAUAAAUUAAUUAAUUAAAAAAAAACUAAAUAGUAAAGUUAACUUCUGACAACUUGUAUAUUUUUAAAGUAAAUUUGUUAUUAUUCAGUAUAAUAUAUAUUAUUCCAUCUCACUCAAAUUUUUUAAAAAUUGGAGUAUAAUUGCUUUACAAUAUUGUGUUAGUUUCUUGCUGUACAGCAAAGUGAAUCAGCCAUACAUAUACAUAUAUCCCCUCUUUUUUGGAUUUCAUUCCCAUUUAGGUCACCACAGAGCCUUGAGUAGAGUUCCCUGUGCUAUACAGUAGGUUUUCAGUUAUUUUAUAUAUAGUAGUGUAUAUAUGUCAAUCCCAACUUGUAUAUUUUUAAAAAAUGGAAAGCAGAAGGGACAAAAUGGUUAGUUUCUAUAUUAUAUAUGCAAAGAGAAAAUGUGCAAAGCUACUACAAUCCUUUUCUCUGUAAUUGGUCACAAGAAGUAGUUGAUAGGUACAGCUCUUUAACAGUGUUCUCUUCUAAACUGCCUAUAGUGUGCACAGAACAGUUAGAACAAAGCAGGCUGAAUUCAGUAUUUCAGGCACAGAACGACCAAAUAAAAUAAAUUCUAUCACUACAAACACCAAAUGCAAAAUUAUUCACCAGUCAAUUAGAAAAUGUAAAACUCUGAUAUAAAAUGAGUGUGCCCCUGGAGCACAGUCAGAACAGGAGGAACUCUGGUUCUGUCCUGUUCUUCUCUUCAAGAGCCCCAGCGGUGCAGCGGGACACAGACUGGGACAUCAGAAGACUACUGCUCCAUAAACCAAGUAGGAUCAACACGGAGAAGUGGGCUUCCCUGGUGGCGCACUGGUUGAGAAUCCGCCUGCCAAUGCAGGGGACACGGGUUUGGUCCCUGGUCCGGGAAGAUCCCACAUGCAGCGGAGCAACUAAGCCCAUGCGCCACAACUACUGAGCCUGUGCUCUACAGCCCGUAAGCCACAACUACUGAGCCCACGUGCCGCAACUACUGAAGCCCGUGCGCCUAGAGCCUGUGCUCCGCAAUGAGAAGCCCGCGCACCACAACGAAGAGUAGCCCCUGCUCACCGCAACUAGAGAAAGCCCGUGCACAGCAGCGAAGACCCAACACAGCCAAAAAUAAAUUUAAAAAACACACACACAGAGAAGUCCACACCUAUAUACACCAUAACCAAAUUCCUGCAUGCCGAAGACAAAGAAAACCAUGAAAGCCACAAGAGAAAAGUGACCCAUCACAUAAAGGGAAAGAAUGAUACAAUGAAUAGCUGACUUCUCCCAAGAGAUGAUGGAGGCUGUAGGCAGUAAAUGGCAUACUCAAAGUGUUAAAGGAAAAAGCAAACCUGUCAAUGAAUAAAUUCUAUACUCAGCAAUACUAUCCUUCAAAAAUGAAGCUGGGAGAAAAAAUGAAGGUGAAAUAAACACAUUGCCAGAUAAACAAAACAGAAAAUGUAUUGCUAGGAGAUUUGCCUUACCAGAAAUACUAAAGAAAGGUCUUCAAGCUGAAAGAAAAUGACAUAAGAUGUUCACUCAAGUCAACAGGAACGAAGAACCAAAUUCAGCAACAUGUAAAAGGCUUAUCUACUAAGACCAGUGGGCUUUAUCCCAAGAGUGCAAAGUUGGUUUAGCAUCCAGAACGCAAAUCAUGUAAUACACUAUAUUAAUAGGAUAGCGGAUAAAACCACAGGAUUGUUACAAUAGCUGCAGAAAAGGCAUUUGACUGAAUUUAAUACCUGUUCAAGAUAAAUACACUCAACAAAUUAGGACUAGAUGGGAAAUUCCUCAACUUCAUAAAAGGUAUCCAGGAAAAGUCUGUAGCUGACAUCAGACUUAAUGGUGAAAGAUGUAAUGCUUUUUAAAGAUUGGAAAUGAGGCAAGGAUGUCUGCAUUCACCACCUCAAUUCUACACUGUAGGAUUCUGCAUGCAAGGAGCUUGGAAGUCACCAAUCCAUCCUAAGAAGUAAAGGUCUAAACAGACUGAAAAAUCAGCAACUCUUCUUGGAUCGAUGAGAGAAGGGAGGACACAGAGCAAACCACUGCUCCCAAGGUAGGAGAGACAGGCAGGUGAAUACAAGUCAUCACAGCUUACCAGAGCAAAGGUUCAUGAGAGAAACCGGCCUGAGAACCUGUGUGUGCGGGGGAAGGGGGGGCGCUGAACUGUAAUUGAUGAAUUUCGGGAGGUUCAAAGUCAGCAACUGUUGAGAGUUAAAAACUCCGGGGCACCCAGUCAUGAGGGAGCCCACACAAUACUGUGAGAUUUACCCCUGGAGCCUGAGCAGGUUCCCAAGUAAAUAUCAGCAAAGCCCCCUCAAGCUUUCUGCAGGGGGAGAGAAGGAACCAUCUCCUACCGCGACAGAGCACUCUGCUCUCCUUAACAAGGCUGCGCUCAAGGGAAACUCGUUAACCAGAGCCUGACCUGCUGGGGUGUUAUCAGAGCCUAACUGACCAGGGGAAGGGAAAUGCCCAGCUCCAGCCUCUCUGGGCAGCCCGUCCCAACCAAGGGGAGAUAAAGGACUGAGAAACACUUGUGAAGUUCACAGUCCAGAGGCACAGGCUCAGUAAAAGAACUGAGGCCCGAUCACAGGACCGUAGAAGGCGUCUCCUCUCCCACACCUCACCUCCACAUUAUUAAGGCCUAUUUAUAGCAGUUCCUUUCACCCAGUACAUCAUGUCUGGCUAUCAGGAAAAAAUUACA